rnacentral:rRNA from 1 species
UACGUAGGGUGCAAGCGUUAAUCGGAAUUACUGGGCGUAAAGCGUGCGCAGGCGGUGAUGUAAGACAGUUGUGAAAUCCCCGGGCUCAACCUGGGAACUGCAUCUGUGACUGCAUCGCUGGAGUACGGUAGAGGGGGAUGGAAUUCCGCGUGUAGCAGUGAAAUGCGUAGAUAUGCGGAGGAACACCGAUGGCGAAGGCAAUCCCCUGGACCUGACGCUCAGGUGCGAAAGCCAGGGGAGCGAACGGG